AUGGUUAAGCUACUAAGAGCACACGGAGGAUGCCUAGGCGCUAGGAGCCGAUGAAGGACGUGGCGAACAACGAUACUGCCUCGGGGAGCUGUAAGCAAGCUUUGAUCCGGGGAUGUCCGAAUGGGGAAACCCGGCUGAUGUAAUAGUCAGUCACUUCUGUCUGAAUACAUAGGACAGAUUGAGGCAUACCAGGGGAACUGAAACAUCUAAGUACCCUGAGGAAGAGAAAACAAGAGUGAUUCCGUCAGUAGCGGCGAGCGAACGCGGAACAGCCUAAACCGGUCAGCUUGCUGGCCGGGGUUGUGGGACGUCUCACAUGGAGUUACAAAGGAAUUGGUUAGGCGAAGAGGUCUGGAAAGGCCCGGCAUAGAAGGUAAAAGCCCUGUAGCCGAAAGUCAGUUCCCUCCGAGACGGAUCCCGAGUAGUGCGGGGCACGUGAAACCCCGUAUGAAUCUGGCAGGACCAUCUGCUAAGGCUAAAUACUCCCUAGCGACCGAUAGUGAAACAGUACCGUGAGGGAAAGGUGAAAAGCACCCCGGAAGGGGAGUGAAAUAGAACCUGAAACCGUGUGCUUACAAGAAGUCAGAGCCCUGUUUAUGGGUGAUGGCGUGCCUUUUGUAGAAUGAACCGGCGAGUUACGUUCCCGUGCAAGGUUAAGGUGAGAAGCCGGAGCCGCAGCGAAAGCGAGUCUGAAUAGGGCGACUAUAGUACGUGGACGUAGACCCGAAACCGUGUGAUCUACCCCUGUCCAGGGUGAAGGUGCGGUAACACGCACUGGAGGCCCGAACCCACGAAUGUUGAAAAAUUCGGGGAUGAGGUGGGGGUAGCGGAGAAAUUCCAAUCGAACUCGGAGAUAGCUGGUUCUCCCCGAAAUAGCUUUAGGGCUAGCCUCGGUUUUGCAGUCGUGGAGGUAGAGCACUGAUUGGGUGCGGGGCCCGCAAGGGUUACCAAGCUCAGUCAAACUCCGAAUGCCAUCGACUGAUCGACCGGGAGUCAGACAGUGAGUGCUAAGAUCCAUUGUCAAAAGGGAAACAGCCCAGACCAUCAGCUAAGGUCCCCAAGUGUGUGUUAAGUGGGAAAGGAUGUGGAGUUGCACAGACAACCAGGAUGUUGGCUUAGAAGCAGCCACCAUUGAAAGAGUGCGUAAUAGCUCACUGGUCGAGUGACUCUGCGCCGAAAAUGUAACGGGGCUAAACACACCACCGAAGCUAUGGCUUGAA
rnacentral:rRNA from 1 species